UGAAUACGAGACGCUAAGGCGUCGAAGUAGUGUAUGUCAUACUUCCAAGAAAAGCUUGCACUGUCAUAGAUAAAAAACGCCUGUACCAUAACCGACACAGGUGGGUAGGUAGAGUAUACUAAGGGGCGCGAGAUAACUCUCUCUAAGGAACUCGGCAAAAUAACUCCGUAACUUCGGGAGAAGGAGUGCCUUAUUUUUAAGGCUGCAAUAACAAGAUCCAAGCAACUGUUUAUCAAAAACACAGGUCUCCGCUAAGUCGUAAGACGAUAUAUGGGGGCUGACGCCUGCCCAGUGCCAGAAGGUUAAAGAAGUUGGUUAGCUUUUGCGAAGCUGAUAACUGAAGCCCUGGUGAACGGCGGCCGUAACGAUAACGGUCCUAAGGUAGCGAAAUUCCUUGUCGGGUAAGUUCCGACCCGCACGAAAGGCGUAAUGAUUUGGAUACUGUCUCGGAGAGGGGCUCGGUGAAAUAGACUUGUCUGUGAAGAUGCGGACUACCUGCACCAGGACAGAAAGACCCUAUGAAGCUUUACUGUAACUUGAAAUUGAAAUUGGACUUUAUUCGCGCAGCAUAGGUGGGAGGCGUUGAUUAUAAUCUCGUGGGAUUAUUGGAGCCAUCAGUGAGAUACCACUCUUGUAAUGUUAGAUUUCUAACUUUGAAUCAUUAUCUGGUCAAAGAACAGUUUCAGGCGGGCAGUUUGACUGGGGCGGUCGCCUCCUAAACGGUAACGGAGGCGUACAAAGGUUUCCUCUGAACGGUUAGAAAUCGUAUCUAGAGUGUAAAGGCAUAAGGAAGCUUGACUGUGAGACCUACAAGUCGAGCAGGGACGAAAGUCGGUCUUAGUGAUCUGACGGUACUGAGUGGAAAGGCCGUCACUCAACGGAUAAAAGUUACUCUAAGGAUAACAGGCUGAUCUCCCCCAAGAGUUCGCAUCGACGGGGAGGUUUGGCACCUCGAUGUCGGCUCAUCGCAUCCUGGGGCGGUAGUACGUCCCAAGGGUUGGGCUGUUCGCCCAUGAAAGCGGUACGCGAGCUGGGUUCAGAACGUCGUGAGACAGUUCGGUCCAUAUCCGGUGUAGGCGUUAGAAUAUUGAGAGGAGCCUUCUUUAGUACGAGAGGACCGAGAAGGACAUACCUCUGGUGUACCAGUUAUCGUGCCAACGGUAAACGCUGGGUAGCUAUGUAUGGAGUGGAUAACCGCUGAAAGCAUCUAAGUGGGAAGCCCACCUCAAGAUAAGUAUUCUC
rnacentral:rRNA from 1 species